GAUGAACGCUGGCGGCGUGCCUAAUACAUGCAAGUCGAACGCAUUGAGAGAAGUGCUUGCACUUUUCAAUUUGAGUGGCGAACGGGGGAGUAACACGUGGGCAACCUACCUGAUAGCGGGGGAUAACGAGUGGAAACAUUCGCUAAUACCGCAGAACAAUAGAGAAGGCAUCUUCUUUAUUUAAAAGGCGCUUUCAAGCGGCACUAUCAGAUGGACCCGCGGUGCAUCAGUUAGUUGGUGGGGUGAAGGCAUACCAAGACGAUGAUGCAUAGCCGAGUUGAGAGAACGAUCGGCCACAUUGGGAAUGAGACACGGCCCAAACUCCUACGGGAGGCUGCAGUAGGGAAUCUUCCACAAUGGACGAAAGUCUGAUGGAGCAACGCCGCGUGUGUGAUGAAGGCUUUCGGGUCGUAAAGCACUGUUGUAUGGGAAGAAAUGCUAGGCUAGGAAAUGAGCUUAGUUUGACGGUACCAUACCAGAAAGGGACGGCUAAAUACGUGCCAGCCGCCGCGGUAA
rnacentral:rRNA from 1 species